CUGAGAGUCCCGGUCUAGUCCACAGACGGUGACCUAACAAAGCAGACAUAGCAACGGGGGGUGAGGUGGGGGACGUGUCUGUCCUCCCCCGGGACAGUCCCUGUCCCCUUUGGGGAUGACAGUGACAGGUCCUUAGGGACCCAGACAGCCCAGGCUCUCACCCUGCCCUGCCCAGCCUCUUCCAGGCCCCAAGCUGUAGGAAUCUCCCCCCAACCCGGACUCUCCCACAAGCUUCAGCUGCCAGAGGACACAGAUGGGGGACCACAGGCACUCCCCAGCCCCUCGUCUGCUCCUUGGAGCCAGCCUGGGAGCAGAGGCUGGGGCUUGGGGCCUUGGGAUUGCAGUCAGUGUUAGACCCUCCGCAGUCAUUUCCCCUGGCACAGUCAGGUCCGGGCCACCCUCAGGAGAGCUGGGGGAGGAAGGGAGUGUUAAUAACUUAGCCAUGUAAACAACCCCUACCAGCCUGCCCUGCCACAGAACGGGCCUCUGGGGGGAGGCAAAGGGGCUAAGUGAAUCUAUGCCAACAUGACCCAAGUCCUGCCUGGUGCCAGUCCCUUCAGGCCUCCUCUCCUCGGAACCCCUCCUCUUCCCCUCAACUGCCUCCUCUCCAGUCUCUUGGGAGGAAGGCUCCUCCUGGCUCCCCUCUCCAGGGAUGGGGAGCCACGCCCAUGGGCUCCUCUCCAGCCCUAGGCCUGGAAGCACCAGGAACACGGGAUGGGGCAGACCCCCAGAACACCAGGCUGGAGCAGGUGGUGGAGCUCAUCAGGUCCCACCUCCUCUCCAGACACUUGGUGAAACUGAGGCCCUUAGAGCAGGGACACUAGAUCCUAGACCUUCCCAGAACUGUUAACACAGGACACUGUGCCUUUGGGCCCUGGGAGGAAGCUUGGGUGGGAACGUGAAGAGCAGCUUGGCCGCGUGAGGACCAGGCACGGCAGACACCGGCUGGUAGGGUGUGCCCAUGUGUCAGAACUGGAAAGGACCAGGAGCGAGUGGUCCAGCAGGCAUGGGGCAGCUGGCGUGGGUCAGAGCACCCAUCCCUGACCCGUGAGAACCCGACUGCCCCUGCCAGCUCUGGCACUGCCCCCUCCCAGCGGCCGUGCCCUAGCACCCCUAGGGGCACCCCGCCCCACCAUGGCCUGGUCCGGCCCCUCCCGCCCUUUGCUCCAGUUCCCGGGCUUGGCACCUAUGGUGGGGGUGCUGCCCGCCUGCCAGGCUCCGGGGCCGGGCCCA
rnacentral:lncRNA from 1 species